rnacentral:rRNA from 1 species
GACAGAGGGUGCAAACGUUGUUCGGAAUUACUGGGCGUAAAGCGCGCGUAGGCGGCUUCGCAAGUCGGGUGUGAAAUCCCCAAGCUCAACUUGGGAACUGCAUUCGAGACUGCGUUGCUAGAGUAUGGGAGAGGGAAGUGGAAUUUCAGGUGUAGCGGUGAAAUGCGUAGAUAUCUGAAGGAACAUCAGUGGCGAAAGCGACUUCCUGGACCAAUACUGACGCUCAUGUGCGAAAGCGUGGGGAGCAAACAGG